AAACAAUGGCAUCUGAUGAUUACAAUACCUGGUCUGUUCCAGAACUAACGUUACGUGGAGAUGACACAAGAGACAGAAAUAUAGAUCUUAUAGAAAGAAUCAAUUAGAAGAGCCAAAAUUUAUAAGCUUAGAUUCAAAACAUUCUGGAGGAGCAGAUUGUGUGAAGAAGCCAGCAGAAGUCAAGAGAAAUAAAAAGAAUGGAACAAAAGAAAAAUUGAAAAAGAACAGUGAAAUGACAAAAUUAAAUAAAAAUUUUGCAUUUCUUAUUGUUGUUAUCUUGUGUAUUGUUGACCAAGACAGCAAAGAAAACCAUCGAAAAGCUGUUCAGACAGAAAAUGACAGAUGCUACACAUGAUCAAACAAAAGAUAAAAAAACACUUCUAAGAAAAAAUUUGUUCAAUGCUGGACCAAAUGAAAUGCAUGAGGAUAUUUAUAAUCUGAAAUAAAAUACUUUGCUGAGUGCAGCCUGAUACGACCGCAU